UACAGAGGGUGCAAGCGUUAAUCGGAUUUACUGGGCGUAAAGCGUGCGUAGGUGGUGGUUUAAGUCCGUUGUGAAAGCCCUGGGCUCAACCUGGGAAUUGCAGUGGAUACUGGAUCACUAGAGUGUGGUAGAGGAUAGUGGAAUUUCCGGUGUAGCAGUGAAAUGCGUAGAGAUCGGAAGGAACAUCUGUGGCGAAGGCGACUAUCUGGGCCAACACUGACACUGAGGCACGAAAGCGUGGGGAGCAAACAGG
rnacentral:rRNA from 1 species